GUGGGGAAUAUUGGACAAUGGGGGGAACCCUGAUCCAGCCAUGCCGCGUGUGUGAAGAAGGCCUUUUGGUUGUAAAGCACUUUAAGCGAGGAGGAGGCUACCGAGAUUAAUACUCUUGGAUAGUGGACGUUACUCGCAGAAUAAGCACCGGCUAACUCUGUGCCAGCAGCCGCGGUAAUACAGAGGGUGCAAGCGUUAAUCGGAUUUACUGGGCGUAAAGCGCGCGUAGGUGGCCAAUUAAGUCAAAUGUGAAAUCCCCGAGCUUAACUUGGGAAUUGCAUUCGAUACUGGUUGGCUAGAGUAUGGGAGAGGAUGGUAGAAUUCCAGGUGUAGCGGUGAAAUGCGUAGAGAUCUGGAGGAAUACCGAUGGCGAAGGCAGCCAUCUGGCCUAAUACUGACACUGAGGUGCGAAAGCAUGGGGAGCAAACAGGAUUAGAAACCUAGUAGUCC
rnacentral:rRNA from 1 species